GGGAAUGAUUGGGUGGCUGGUGCCCCUCGCGGUCUUCAACACCGUUGUCCUGCCGAUAAAUCAGGAGCUGGGUUCAAUUCCCAGGCGUUCCC
rnacentral:tRNA from 1 species